GACGAACGCUGGCGGCGUGCUUAACACAUGCAAGUCGAACGGAAAGGCCCUGCUUGCCGGGUACUCGAGUGGCGAACGGGUGAGUAACACGUGGGUGAUCUGCCCUGCACUUCGGGAUAAGCCUGGGAAACUGGGUCUAAUACCGGAUAGGAGCCAUUUUUAGUGUGAUGGUUGGAAAGUUUUUUCGGUGUAGGAUGAGCUCGCGGCCUAUCAGCUUGUUGGUGGGGUAAUGGCCUACCAAGGCGGCGACGGGUAGCCGGCCUGAGAGGGUGGACGGCCACAUUGGGACUGGGACUCGGCCCCGACUCCUACGGGAGGCAGCAGUGGGGAAUAUUGCACAAUGGGCGCGAGCCUGAUGCAGCGACGCCGCGUGGGGGAUGACGGCCUUCGGGUUGUAAACUCCUUUCGCUAGGGACGAAGCUUUUUGUGACGGUACCUAGAUAAGAAGCACCGGCUAACUACGUG
rnacentral:rRNA from 1 species